AUACGUAGGGGGCUAGCGUUAUCCGGAAUUACUGGGCGUAAAGGGUGCGUAGGUGGUUUCUUAAGUCAGAAGUGAAAGGCUACGGCUCAACCGUAGUAAGCUUUUGAAACUAAGAGACUUGAGUGCAGGAGAGGAGAGUAGAAUUCCUAGUGUAGCGGUGAAAUGCGUAGAUAUUAGGAGGAAUACCAGUUGCGAAGGCGGCUCUAUGGACAGUAACUGACACUGAGGCACGAAGGCGUGGGGAGCAAACAGGAUUAGAUACCCUGGUAGUCCACGCCGUAAACGAUGAGUACUAGCUGUCGGGGGUUACCCCCCUCGGUGGCGCAGCUAACGCAUUAAGUACUCCGCCUGGGAAGUACGCUCGCAAGAGUGAAACUCAAAUGAAUUGACGGGG
rnacentral:rRNA from 1 species